GCUACACAUGCAGUCGAGCGGAACGACACUNACAAUCCUUCGGGUGCGUUAAUGGGCGUCGAGCGGCGGACGGGUGAGUAAUGCCUAGGAAAUUGCCUUGAUGUGGGGGAUAACCAUUGGAAACGAUGGCUAAUACCGCAUAAUGCCUACGGGCCAAAGAGGGGGAUCUUCGGACCUCUCGCGUCAAGAUAUGCCUAGGUGGGAUUAGCUAGUUGGUGAGGUAAUGGCUCACCAAGGCGACGAUCCCUAGCUGGUCUGAGAGGAUGAUCAGCCACACUGGAACUGAGACACGGUCCAGACUCCUACGGGAGGCAGCAGUGGGGAAUAUUGCACAAUGNGCGAAAGCCUGAUGCAGCCAUGCCGCGUGUAUGAAGAAGGCCUUCGGGUUGUAAAGUACUUUCAGUUGUGAGGAAGGGUGUGUAGUUAAUAGCUGCNCAUCUUGACGUUAGCAACAGAAGAAGCNCCGGCUAACUCCGUGCCAGCAGCCGCGGNAAUACGGAGGGUGCGAGCGU
rnacentral:rRNA from 1 species